GCUAAAACCCUUUUCUCAGCUUUAUUUUUCACAAUUUUUGGAAAAACGGAACAGGGAACGACAUUUGAGCCCAAUACAGUUUUCAAGCACUUCGACGCUUUCCACAAAUACUUCAACUACCUCUGGCUGGGAAUGCCCGUGAACAUGUUCCCCGAGGCUCUGAAAUCCUUGAAGUUUCUCUGCGCUCAGCCCUGCUCACAAGACUUACUGAAGAGAGAAGAUCUGUCCGAAUACAUCCGAUUUUCCAUGAACUUCAUGUUGGAGAAUGGACAAACUGAGCAGGACAUCAUCGGCCACAAUCUGGUGUACCUCCACGUCAACUACAACACCUUCAGGAUGGCUUUCUGGGCUAUCUACAAAUUGAUGGAGCACCCGGAAGCAUUGGAAGCUCUCAGGGCUGAAGUACAAGAUAUCGUAGAGAAAAGAGAGGACUCUGAAAACGAAAACGGAGAAAUAGAACUAUCCUUGGAAGAUGUGGAUCGCCUUCCUAUUCUUGACAGCAUCACUAAAGAAACUCUAAGAGUGUCUGGAGGAGUUUUCAUGGUCAGAUCUGUUGCUGAAGAUACCGAAUUUGAGACGGAGGAGGGCCGAAAAUACAGUCUGAGAAAGGGAGACAAAGUUGCCAUGUACCCACCAGCAAUCCACAAGGACCCAGAAAUCUUUGAAAACCCUGAUGAAUACAAAUAUGACAGGUUCGUUGAUGCCACGUUCUACAAGAAUGGGAAAGUUUUGAAGAACCCAAUCUUGGCAUUUGGUUCUCUAUGUCCCGGCAAAAAAUACGCCCUCUGCCAGGCAAAAUGGUUUAUGCUCUCCUUGGUGAACGCAUUUGACUUUGAGCUUUGCGAAGGAGAGAAAACGGAAUGUGAUAUCAACUAUCAUGGACAUGAAAUUUUACCACCAACCAAUGAUGUUCAAAUUCGAUACAGAAUACGAGAGGGCCACAAGAAAUUAAUAUUCGUUUAAUGGACAAUUGUUUCCUUAGUUCAGUGGUUGUGUUUAAAUUAUUUAUUGACCAAUUUGUGUAUGAGAGAAGGAUGAAUGAAAUGUAAGCGACAAGGUGAGUGAGUGGAAGAAAGAAUCAGUGAAUGAAUAGACGAAACUAGUGUGUAUUAAGGUUGUGACAUAUUUAUUUGCCAGUUAAACUUACAGUUGUAUUAUGUAUUUUCGUAUUGCAGGUCCCAAAUAAUUUUGUAUGAAAGUUUUAAGCGAGAAUGAAAAAAAAGAGGAUCUCAUUUGAAUCAUUCAUUUUCUUCAACUGACAAUUUUAUUUUCACCUUCAUGUUUUGUUUGCAUGCGUUUGAGAGAGUAGGCAUUUAAGCAUAAUCCCAAAUUUCGAUGUUUUACGGGUAAAUGUGCAAAUAAGGUCUUAGAGCAUACAGUUUACUACAAGGAUUGAGAGCAGAUAGAUGGUGUAGUUUUUUGAAUCUCCACAAUGAUAGAGAGUUCAAUGAAGGAAUCUCUGAAGUAUUUUUUUUAUUGUCUCACGAACGUUACAGAACUCAAAGCAAUUAUUGUCCCUAAUGUGAACGUGUAGUUCGUGUAACAAUGAUGAUAAUUGAUUAUUAUAGAUAUGUCAAUUUUUGCCAGUUAAAAUGUUGAUACAUUUUUUGUGAUGCCAUUGCAGACACAUUUGAGUACUUUGCAUCAACAAAGUCUUUAUUUUUGUAUUUCACAAUCUGACCAUUGAAUAGUGAUGGUGCCAGAUUUGUUGUGUAAAUUUUUAUGUCAUGCCACAUUUUCAAACAUGAUCCUAGAUCCUUUGUCAUGUUUUCCACCAUUUGUCUCCACAUAUAUAUAGCAUUUGUAAAAAUAUCAUUUAUUUAUUUUUUAAGUUAUUGAUAAUUUAUUUGAACGUCCAAUUUGAAAUAUGUAAAAUCCAAGGUGCUUAUCAACCCGUUGCGGUUGUUACAAUUUGUUAUAAAUAAAAUAUUGAAAAUAUUC
rnacentral:misc_RNA from 1 species